UACAGAGGCCCCAAGCAUUAUCCGGAUUCACUGGGCGUAAAGGGUGCGUAGGCGGUGUGAUUAGUCAGGUGUUAAAUCCUGGGGCUUAACCUCAGAAUCGCAUUUGAAACGGUCAUACUAGAAGAAGUCAGAGGUAAACAGAACUCUCGGUGUAGGGGUGAAAUCCGUUGAUAUCGAGGGGAAUACCAAAUGCGAAGGCAGUUUACUGGGACUUUCUUGACGCUGAGGCACUAAAGCGUGGGUAGCGAAUCGG
rnacentral:rRNA from 1 species